AUUGUAUCGAGUGAUGUAAUAUGUGUAUUGUGUUGUGAUGUUGUGAGUGGAUAUGUUUAUUGUGUGAAUCAUGAGUAUUAGUGUGGUGUGGGGCGAACAUGUCAAAGCUAACCCAUAGCGGAUGUCCAUGCGAUACAUAUUUAUGAUAUGCUUUCCAAGGAUAAUUCAAGGUCCAGAAGUGAUACUACUUAGGAUGAAUAUGGAGUGAAGCAGACAGGAGGCAGCCAAACCACUCCACAACACUGCUGGGGAACCCCCAAGGACUGUGGGCCAUAACUCAUAAGGCCCCUUAUAGGUGGAGGAAGGUCAUUCCAGCAGUGUGUGGCUGCAAAUCUGAAGCUACCCCUGAAGGCUGCAGUUUUGUGAAGUGGGACCCUCAGCGGAGCAACUAUGGAGCGAAGACCAUGUCUGUAGCAUGUUUCUUUCCAUAUAAGUUUUUCAAAUAAGUAGUGCGGCUUGUGGGUUGAAACGAUUCCAAACAUCAGGCUGGCAAGAUGCAGUUUUCGCCUGGCAGCCAUUUUUAACAUUUUGAUUUGGUUGAUGUAUGGCGUUACAUGGUGUCUGCGGGGGACUUUUGUGCAGAAUCGGACACAUGCAUUCUGUACACGCUGUAUCAGCCUAUCUGACCUAGCAAGCAGGCACGGCCCGUAUACAGUAUCGCAGUAAUUUAGCUUGGAUAAGACUAGCGUGUCUACAAUUUGUUUUCUAAGAGGUAGACUUAGAAAGUUACGAAUACUGUACAGUACCUUAAGCCUAUAGAAGCAGUUUCUUACUACGUUGUUUAAAUGAGCCUCAAAGCGC